UACGUAGGGGGCAAGCGUUGUCCGGAUUUAUUGGGCGUAAAGAGCGUGUAGGCGGUCCGGUAAGUCCGCUGUGAAAAGUCGGGGGGCUCAACCCUCGGAUGCCGGUGGAUACUGUCGGGCUUGAGUACGGAAGAGGCGAGUGGAAUUCCUGGUGUAGCGGUGAAAUGCGCAGAUAUCAGGAGGAACACCAAUGCGAAGGCAGCUCGCUGGGACGUUACUGACGCUGAGACGCGAAAGCGUGGGGAGCAAACAGG
rnacentral:rRNA from 1 species